AGUUUUAGUAUCACAAUGGACUUUAUCAGAAAGACAAAACUUUUAUCAUUUUAAGAAGGAAUUUUCAGAGUAAGAUUGAGGGGAGAAAUCACAAUAGGGAGCAAAGAGUGAUUUAGAGAUGGAUAGAUAGAUGGAUGGAGAGAUAAGUAUGUGGAUAAAGGUGUAAUCACAAAGAUAUAUAUAUAUAUAUAUGGAUAGAUAAAUACA